rnacentral:lncRNA from 1 species
GGUAUGAAUUUCAUAGACCAUACACUUAGAUUACUUAGAUGUUUAUGAAAUGAAAGUGUAUGUGUGUAUGUGUGUGUGUGUGUGUGUGUUUGUAUACACUGAAUUUAAUUUAUAAUUGUACCUCAUAGCAGAAAACUGAACCUUAGCAGAUAGGGUCCCUUCAAAUUUUUCCUAUUUUAGUAAGCUUAGGGCUCCUUCCUAUUCCUAUCCCCACUGCCCCACUGUGGCAUAGAUUCUAAAUGUAAGGGAAUAAAAGCAGUCUAAUGGAACGUGGUAAAAGCAAGCUGCAAGAAUCUAGUCCUUGCAUUACAUCUAUCCAUAGCUAGCAUCUGCUGAGAUGACCAUUAAGAAUAAAAAUAGCUAACAUAUAUGAAACACUCAUAUAACCCUAUGCUAGGUCCUUUACAUAUCUGAAUUCACCCAGCCUUCAUAACAGCCCGUGAAGUAAGUACUAUUAUUACAAUGUGCAUUUUAUAGAUAGGAAAACUGAUGCACAGAGUUUAAAAACUGGGCCAGGUUUAUGCAGCACUUAAGAAACAGAGCUGGAGUUUGAACGCAAUACUGGAACUCUGGAACUUCAGCUUGGAAUCUCUGUGCUCGGCAGGCUCUCCUGCUGUCUACUCCUUCCAUAUAAGCCUCCACAUCAGCACAAGCUGAAGCUAUUGUAUUAUAUUUGGAAGGUAAUGUGACGCAUUCCACAGCGGCUUCCUCAUCCCUCCCUCUGCAGACUGCUGGUUCUCUAAGUCCCGACUGUGCCACUCAUGUGCAAUACAUGUGGUAUAAAAUGACUUGUCUGCUCACUCCUAGAACCUAUUGAGGUUUACAGGGCCUCUGGGCCUCGUGUCCAUCAGCCAAAUAACUCACGUAAACAUCACUAUGUAUUCACAGGGUCAUGGUUUUGGGAGUGUUCUAAAUGUUUAAAGUAUUCCAAUCAGAAAGCUGGAUGCUCUGUCACUCUACCCAGGAGUGCAGUCAGAAUAAUCUCUAAUUCAAGAGGACACUGGUCCAUGGCUAUCUUUCUUUUCUUACUGUAUCUUGUAACUUCUGUGGUGCUUUAUCGAGAUUUACCAGACACAGGAAGAAGAUGGCCAUCUAAAAGUCAAAAGAAGAAGCCUGGAACAGAUUUUUCCCUCACAGUUCUCAGAAGGAGCCAGUGGUGCCGACAACUUGAUCUAGUCUCCAGAGCUAUACCACAACCAAUUCCACUUAUUUAAGCCACCUAGGUUGUGGUACCUCGCUACAGCAUCACCUAGAAAAUUAAUGCACCUUCAUUACCCAGAGAUAACCUCAGUAAACACUUACUAUACAUUUAAAAAUCUGUGGCCUAUUUCUGUUUACUUAUUCAAAUAUUUUUUUUUCACAUAACACUAAAUUUUGAACAAAUUUUUCAGUCUAUGGCGGUGACGUCUUGUGCCCUACCCUGAAGUCCAUUUUUCCUUCCUCCCAGUAACAAUGCUCUAAUUUUAGUGCUCAAUCAAAAGAUAACAUUUGCAGCCUCCCUUGGGCCAUGUGCUUAUUUAUCUAAAUUCUGGACAAAAUGAUGUUAGCAGAAAUGUUGUAUUGGACUGUAAAGAACUGCAAAGUUUCUAAAAUUUUGCACUACUUGAAAGCAAAAAAGAAACCCUUCCACAGAAAGGUGGUUUUCUUGUCCCAGUUUUCUGAGUGCCAAUUCCCACAGGGCCAGAAGAGGAUGAGACACUUACAGAGCCUAAAACUUUUAUAAUGGUCAGUGAACCUGCACACCCUUUGUGUAGGACAGAAAUGCUGUUUCUACCUUGCAAGGCUGCUUCCUAUAAAAAAUUCUUAAAACGAUAGACCACCAGCCAACGUUUUGAGGAUGCAUUCAUAUUUUCAGAAUGACAGUAGGAAGAGAGGAAACUGAGCUCCAUACUAGUCCUGGCCUAUGCACCCCCCCAGACUUCUUUUAUGGCUGAGGAAAUUAAACUUCUUUAGUUAAAUCACUUAUUUUGGGAAUUUUCUGUGGUGCUGUCCAAUCCUAGGUCUAACUGGCAUGCAGUCAAUAAAACUUACAUUUAAAACUUCAUUUUUCAGCCGGGCACAGUGGCUCACAUGUGUAAUCCCAGCACCAAGUCAGGUGCAUCACCUGAGGUCAGGAAUUUGAGACCAGACUGGCCAACAUCGUGAAACCCUGUCUCUAUUAAAAUACAAAAUUAUUUUACUCUAUUAAAAAUACAAAAUUUAGCCGGGCGCGGUGGCGGGCACCUGUAAUCCCAGCUACUCGUAAGGCUGAGGCCGGAGAAUCAUUUGAACUCAGGAGGCAGAGGUUGCAGUGAGCCGAGGUGGCGCCAUUGCACUCCAGCCUGGGCAACAAGAGUGAAACUCCAUCUCAAAAAUAAAUAAAUAAAUAAAUAAAUAAAUAAAUAAAUAAAUAAAUAAAUAAAAUAAAAUAAAAUACUUCAUUUUUCAUAAUGACAAAGAAGUAAAUCAUAUAAUCAUACCAUCAUUUCCUUAGUUAAACCCAUUAUUGUACUCCCC